GGAAUAAGGUGAUCUAAACCUCGGCAUGUUCUUAUAAACAAGACAAAUAAAGGUUGAGGAAUCAUCCUGGUGGUGGCUGCCAGAGGCUUUCUCUUUUCAUGUUAGUGAAUACCUCAGCUCUAGUAGUUUGCCAACAUCACUAUUUAAAUGUUCCUGAGAGUUAUAGAACCGGUGGCGUCGGCUCCAGAUUCCUAUGGGAGAGAAACCACACACUCCUUGUUAAAGUGUUACUCAUUAAUGGAUGUGGCAGAGUGAAUGAUGGACAAUCCUCCCAAAGAAGGUGAUGGCUUUUUUUAUACACCAUUGUUAAGCCUACGUGCUGAUGAGGAGAGGCAACUGGAAAGAGAUGACCAAGAGGGCCAGGAUGGAUUGAUGAGGAUUGAGUGUCCAUGUAUAAACUUAAUUAUCACCAAGUG